UUCCUGGUGAUCCAGUGGCUAAGACUCUGCACUCCCGAUGCAAGGGGCCUAGGUUCGAUCCCUGGUCAGGGAA
rnacentral:tRNA from 1 species